AAGUAGGGUGGGUUGCCUAAAGCCACAUAAUAAGUCACUGGCAGCGCCAGGGAUCACACCUGGCUCAGCUUGUUUGCAAAAGUGAGUGCUCUCACCCACUCCGCUAAUAGGGCACAGGCCAGCCAGUUAGCUGAGAGGAGAGAGAGCAUACACACGUGUGUGUUUGUGUGUGUGUGUGUACGCACGCGCCUAGCUGGCCUGUUGCCGGGUUGCCUGCCCUGAGACAGGGUGAGGGGUGCAGCUGUCCGCCAGCCUCACCCAUGCCCUCACCGGGCCUGACUGGUUCUAGCUGGAGUCGCCGGCGAGGGCUGCCCAGGCACUAGCUCAUAAACACAGACCCAAUGCUGUGGGCCUUGUGCCAGGACUGCCAGCCUGUCAGGCGAUGUCCCAGCCCGGUGACCACAGAUGGGAGAUUAGGCGGACCCUCAACCACCCAGCAGAUGGGAACAGUAGGCAGCUAGUGCAGCAGCCGUGGAUUGGCAGACUCCAGGGGACAGGGCGGGGGUGGGAAGGUGACUUUGGUACCGGGGUUGCUGGGAUCUUGCCAGUUUCUUUAGCUGCCCUAGCCUCCAGAGGAGAGUCCCACCAGCCUCCCUGACCCUGGGAUCAGCCUCUCCUGGGAUUGGUACAGAUUGGCUAAGCAAUUGGGUGGGUAGCAGGGCAUGGAGCCCAAUACCUGGUUGGUUGGUUCCCCCACAAAUAGGAAGUGCAGGGCCCCACUGGGGCAGGCUGUGGGAUUUUUGACAUAUCCAGCUUGGCUGGCCACAGGGAAGGAGGUGGCUGGGGACAGACCCCUAGAGGGACUGUGAAAGGUACUACCAAGCCAUGGGAGGGGUUGGCAGCUGUCUCUGCCACCCAGGCCCUCUCAUUCCUGGGAUCCUCUGUGCUGGGGUCAACCCUCUUUUCCAGGCUUCUUACUUCCUGACCUGUCCUAGAUUUUUGUUUCCCGUGAUCCCAGAGGUCACUCUCAGGCCUUCCCCUGAGUUGGGCUUGCCCAGCGUUGCUGGCCAGGGCAGGCCUGGGCUCACAGACUCCUGGGUCUCAUCUCAUCUCUCUUGGAGCACCACCCAGCAGAGCUUGUGAGCCCAAGUUGGCUGAUGGUUGGUGGAAAGGUCUCCACACCUUGGAGUUCAGACCUCGGUAUGAAAAGCUUUCCAUGCCAUCCAACCCUUGCCUACAAUCUAGAAGAAUAGUCUCUAGCCUGUGGAGCCAGGGUCUCUGAGCCCAUGCCAGCAGAUGGGACCAGGGAGGUCUGAGUGGAGGGUGGCCAUUACAAGGGAGCUCCCCAUGGGGCCCGUAAGAUCAUCCACCUUCCUUGGCAUGGAGAGGUAUUGGGAGGAAGCAUGGCUGCUUUUGUGAGUGAGCGUUGGGAGGGACCUGGGGCCUGGGCUGACCUCUUCUUUCCUCAUGCCCAGCAGAUCCAAUUUGCCUGGGCAGGGAGUGCUUGUUCCCGCCGGCAGCCCAUGUGCCUGCCAUUGUACUGUGCCCAGCUGACGUCCGUGUAGGCAAUAACCAUCCCUCAGCAGGAACUGGCCUGACAAUUUUGUUCCUGCUCUGUGAUGCUGAGGGGCUGCCUGGAGGAUGGGAGGAGGAGGUGUUCUGUAAGGGAAGGUGGCAGAGAUGGCCGGGGGCACUCAGUCCCUGCCAUCCCUGUGGACUUUCAGGCGUGGCCUUUCCUCACCAGCCUACGCACACCUGUUUUUUUAUUCUUUUCUGAGACGGAGUCUCUUUCUGUCGCCCAGGCUGGAGUGCAGUGGCAUGAUCUCAGUUCACUGCAACCUCCGCCUCCCGGGUUCAAGCAAUUCUCUGCCUCAGUCUCCCGAGUAGCUGGGAUUACAGGCACCCACCACCAUGCCUGGCUAAAUUUUUUGUAUUUUUAGUAGAGACGGGGUUUCACCAUCUUAACCAGGCUGGUCUUGAACUGACCUCGUGAUCCACCCGCCUUGGCCUCCCAAAGUGCUGGGAUUACAGGCGUGAGCCACUGCGUCCAGCCACACCUGGUUUUCAGAGGCUGAGGAAGGGGAGGUUUGGAAAGAUUUGGGGAAAAGGAAGGCAGAGCAGCAGGGGAAAGUCAGAGGACCCCUGCGAGCCCAGCCUUCUGUGAGGUGAGGGGGUGAAGGAGACUGUAGCCUGAAGCAGACAGUCGGGUGGGCCCUGCCCUGGCACUCCUGGGUGGGAGGCUGUGGGCAGCUGCCACUUGGCUGAUUCACAGAAGUGUUUCAUUGGCUUUGCUGUAAGGGCUGCCCUGGCCCAUCCAUGGGUGUGCUUGUACCCACCUUGAAAGGGGCUAGGGAGGGGAGGAGGGAGCUGUGAGGGCUUGUGCCUAGCAAGCCCUCCAGAGCUUCCUUGCCUGUGCUGAGCAAGCUCCAUGCUCUCUACAGGCCUACCUGGAGUCCUUCUACAAGUUCUGCACCCUACUGGGCGGGACUACGGCUGAUGCCAUGUGCCCCAUCCUGGAGUUUGAAGCAGACCGCCGCGCCUUCAUCAUCACCAUCAAUUCUUUCGGCACAGAGCUGUCCAAAGAGGACCGUGCCAAGCUCUUUCCACACUGUGGGCGGCUCUACCCUGAGGGCCUGGCGCAGCUGGCUCGGGCUGACGACUAUGAACAGGUCAAGAACGUGGCCGAUUACUACCCGGAGUACAAGCUGCUCUUCGAGGGUGCAGGUAGCAACCCUGGAGACAAGACGCUGGAGGACCGAUUCUUUGAGCACGAGGUAAAGCUGAACAAGUUGGCCUUCCUGAACCAGUUCCACUUUGGUGUCUUCUAUGCCUUCGUGAAGCUCAAGGAGCAGGAGUGUCGCAACAUCGUGUGGAUCGCUGAAUGUAUCGCCCAGCGCCACCGCGCCAAAAUCGACAACUACAUCCCUAUCUUCUAGCGUCCUGGCCCAAGGCUCUCAAUUGCACUCUUUGUGUGUGUGUAUGUGGUCUGUGACAAGCCUGUGGCUCACCUGCCUGUCCGGGGUGUAGUACGCUGUCCUAGCGGCUGCCCAGUUCUCCUGACCCUCUUAGAGACUGUUCUUAGGCCUGAAAAGGGGCUGGGCACCCCCCCACCAAGGAUGGACCAAGACCCCCUCCAGAGCAAGGAGGCCCCCUCAGCCCUGUGGUUACAGCCGCUGAUGUGUCUAAGAAGCAUGUCACUUUCAUGUUCCUCCCUAACUCCCUAACCUGAGAACCCUGGGGCCUGGGGGCAGUUUGAGCCUCCUCUCCCGUCUGUGGGUCGCUCCCAGAGCCAUGGCCCAUGGGAAGGACAGAGUGUGUGUGUCCUUGGGGCCUGGGGGGAUGUUGCUCCUCAGCUCCCUCCCUCAGCCCUGCCCCUCUGAGACAAUAAAACUGCCCUCUCUAAGCCCAACUGUC
rnacentral:sRNA from 1 species